AAUUUCUACGGGUGUCGUAUAUCAGAGGUAAACAAUAUUAGAUGUUUAUUUAUUUGUUUGGAGGUAUCAGUUUUCUAUGAAUGUACAACUGUUUGCUUUGUGCUUUAUUUAGACUUCUAAUUUAUAUCGAUAUUUAUGACAUGUGUUUACCUGUUUUGUAAGUCAAUCAAAAAGUUUGACUAGCAACUAAUGGUGCCUAUACAUGUAUUUAUGGAGCUUCUUCUGGUCAUAUGUGUAGUGGAUCUCUCCUCCUGUUGUUCCCUUCAAUCAUGUCCAAGGUCAAGAACCAUUCAGGUCAUAAACCCCUACGACAGGGGCCACGAGGGCUCAUCUUCGCCACUGCCCCUACUCCCACCUUCUGCAUGUCCUGCUCGGUGCUGUUCCAUUCCCUAGCGAUGUUCUCCGGCUAAAGACGCUUGGAGUUUGUGGUGUGGUGACACUUAAUGAAUCAUACGAGAGGCUUGUUCCCACAUCCCUAUACGAGGCUGCCAUUUGCAUUCAAUUUUGGUCAACAUUAUGAACUGACCAGAGAUUGAUAGUGAUAGUGUUGGAUCACGAUUGCAGG